rnacentral:rRNA from 1 species
ACUUUACAUAUUAGUUAACUAAAAUUUUAAUUAUUUGUAAAAGAUUUUUUUUAAUUUGUGUUUCAUUGGGGAGAUGAAAGUAUAAAAUUAGCUGCUUAAUUUUUAAUACAAAAAUAUUUGAAACUUAAUUGAUCCUUGCCAGAGAUAAAAGAAAAGUU